CUAAAUAAAUAACAUAAUAAAAUAUGUUUGAUGAUUUGGGAAAGUUUUAGCUUAUGACAUUUCCAACUGCACAACUGAAAUUUGAAAAAACAGAAUUGCUUUUGAAAAGAUUCAGUGAAGCGAAAAAGAAAAUCAAUUAGACGUUAUAUUUAAAAAUCGUUAAUUUGAAUUUCAGAGGAUCUACUACACAUUUUGCUGCACUGUUAUAAAAAAAUAUUAUGUUUUUUAUUAAAUUUAAUUUUUUUUAUCUCCUAUUUUAGGUCAUAUGUUCUAUUGAUAAUCCACCUGUGUAUUUGAAUUUAGAGCCGGAAGAAUCGCCACUUAUUUUUGAAGAAGUAUCUUUUAACAUUAGCGAUAAGAGACCAGGAUCUGAAUAUGUACUAAAAAAUUUUGAUUAUAAUUAUUUUGCUAUUGACAAUGAGAAUAACAGAAAGGAGAAAGAAGAUAUAGAAGCGGAAGCUGAUUUUGAUGAUAAAACGGAAGACCGUGUAACGGAUCUCACUUCAGCACCCAGUUCAGUUAACAUGGAAUCUUGGAUAAUGGGUGCAUAUGAAGAAGACAAACGUUGUGGUGAUAAGUCACUUCCGGAACCACCCGAUACAUUAAGGCAAGAAAUUGUAGACGAAGAAAUCAACAUGAUAGAACGCUCUCCAUUAUUUCCUGAAUUAGACCUAGUACCACUAAUUGAAAUAACCGAAUCACAGGAGAGAAUCAUAAAAGACAAUUUAAAAACUAUGGAUGAAUAUCGAAACUAUGGUAAUCUAAAUAGGAAUUUAUCUGCACGUGGUUUACAUCCUCGGAGUACAUUGGAGAAAUCAAUUAGUGAUAGUUCUGAUGAUCAAGUACAAGAUGAAAAAAAUCAACAUUCCAGUACCGGAUGUUGCGGAAGAAUCAUACGCCGCAAAAACAGGAAAUAAUAUUAUAAAGAAGGAAGCACAACAGCUCAGCAUUUAAUUAAGUAUUAUAAUACGAAAUUUUCAUUGCAACAUAUAUCAUAAAUGUUUAUAUUAAGUGUGUGAACGUUGAUCAAGUGAGCUUCAGAACUCAAAUGAGAUUAACAGGGUAGUUGUAUGUUUACAUAUAGUUUCCACAUAAGAAUUGAACAAUAUUUCUAAUAAAGAAAGUUAUGUCCACAA